rnacentral:lncRNA from 1 species
GCCACUCAGCGGCGCCGCGACACGGCACCGACGCCACACUGCCAGCCGCCCCCAGCGACAACUCCGCUUCGCCCAGCCCCUCCACGUGCACGCGCGACAGCUAUUGGGCAGGAAGGGUGUCAGUCGUGCAGCUCACGAAGCUCAUUGGCCAUUAGCCGACGCCUGCGCAGCCCACCGGAGACCGCCUGCCUGAUGUCACCCGCCGGAUGACACAGCAACCGUGGGCUGGGGCUGGGGAAAGGCAGGGCUGUGUCUUUGAUUGCAUAUUUGAGGGCUCCUGUUCCAGUGAUGAGUGUCACUUCCUGACCUCGCCCAGGGCUGCGAGCGUGUGCAGCGUUUCCAUUUGAUCUCCUCGGGAGAAUCCUGUUACAGCCUGACCAGCAGAGUCCUGGAGGAGCUGAACACAGAACUCUAGGGAUGUGAUGUGCCUGUCACCUUAGUAAAUGGGUCUGUGGGUGUUUGGGGAAAACGUGUUCUUGUCUUGAAAGAGCCACAGAGCCCUUCACAGGUUAGUCACCAGCAGGAGGGAGGAGGGACAGCUGCUAGCACAGCAAAGCCACUUGUGCUGGUGGCACAGACCCCAGACAAGACCCCUGCAAACUCAGUACACAAGUCAAAGAGCAGUGAAUCUUUUGAUGGCUUUACCAUUCAGUAAUGGUAAUUGAUUUUUGCAUUGAUUGGUGGUAAAAGAGCCCCAUUAAUAUGAAUAAGAUUUCAUACUUGAUGUAUACAUACCUGUUACUGUGGUGUUGUAAGGAAUACAAAAGGCUCUUACAAAUCAAUAUGAAUUAGUAAUAUAACUUUUGGAUGCACUUUGCCUCUCUUCCUCAUUGUUUAUUCAAUGUGUGGGAACUGUCUGUAUCCUGUCUAUGCACAAGGAAUUUUCAUGUUGUAAGCAGAAAUCACUAACACACCAAGAGUACAGGUUGCACACUUUGGGAGAGAAGGAUAUGUCUCAGAUGCUGACCCUGUCUUUGUCAUAAGUGAAAAACCAAUAAAAUAAUUU